rnacentral:lncRNA from 1 species
UGCACUAAACAAGUGGUUGACAAAGAAUACCAACAAAUUUAUUGUCCCAAAAAAAAACUAUAAUCAUGCACUGAAAAACAACCUUUUGUCAACAAAAGAAUGGCACAAAUUUCCAUUGAUAAAGUGUAAGAUAACAGAUAGUCAGUAUCUAACUUGUUUUGUAUUUUUUUUAAAGGUAACUUAAUUACUUUUUUGUAGCAAAAUGUUUUAUAAUUAGAUUCAUUUUCAUGUUGUGAAGAAUACAACUUUCUACAUCAGAUGAGAUAUAUGUUAAAGAAAGCAUUAAAAAUAAGAAUAACAAAUCAUACCGCUCUUCAUUGCCAGAACCUCCGCCACCUAUUAUGAAUAAGCCCAAUGCUAAAAAGUUGUUAUCAGAUUCAAAGAUCGAAGAAGAUAAUUUUUCUUCACAUUUUAUUGAUGAACACCAAGCAAAGUUCACAUUGUCAAAGAGUUUUAAGUUUUAAUAGAUGCAAAAUGUUAUUCUCAAGGAGCUUGCAGAAAUAAAAGUUCUUUUAAAAGAAGUUAUAGAAAUUAAGUUUACAGGCUACUGGGGUGAAGUUGCUAGAAUCGGUGGACGAAGUGGUUACACUGGGUAAUAAACUAAAAGAUAAAACCGAGUAUACUAAUUUGAUAAUUUUAAAAAAGAUUGGUGGUGGAAAGCCAAGAGAACAUGUUUUUUGAUUAUGUUUUUAUUAAUUAUUAGAAAUAUGAUUAAAAGGGACCAAAAGCAAUUCUUUUUGACCGUUAUUUGUUAUGGAUUUACUUUUAACAUGACAGUUUGAUAAACUCGGGAAGUUCACUGUUAUUUUCGAAUCAGUUACAGUCCAAAUUAAAUCGAAAAGGAAAUGGGGAAAAGAUAAGCUUAGAAAAUCUAGUAAAUAUAUGGAGUGUUUUACGAGAUAUCGGCGACGUGGAAGAAAAUGUUGACGGCAAUGCAGAAAUAUAGUUUCUUAUGUAUAUUUUUGAGUUCGCUCCAUGUCUGGAAGUUAGUUAUCUCAAACUUCAAAAAAUCCUGCAUCCGCCCCUG